rnacentral:rRNA from 1 species
UACGUAGGUGGCAGGCGUUGUCCGGAUUUACUGGGCGUAAAGAGCGCGCAGGCGGUCGUUCAAGUCGCGUGUGAAAGCCCCCGGCUCAACUGGGGAGGGUCACGCGAUACUGAUCGACUCGAAGGCAGGAGAGGGAAGUGGAAUUCCCGGUGUAGUGGUGAAAUGCGUAGAUAUCGGGAGGAACACCAGUGGCGAAGGCGACUUCCUGGCCUGUUCUUGACGCUGAGGCGCGAAAGCGUGGGGAGCAAACAGG